AUUUGCUUUUACGCUAUGAUUCAAACUCUUUUCAUCUUCCUAAAGCGAAACACUUAUGUCAAGAUUUCUCCCUCUCUCUCAUCACUUACUCGGGAACCAACAUCACUCCAUCCAUUCCCCCAAAUUCUCUCUUCACCUCUCGGCUCUUUAUCUCUCUCUCACAGUGAAUCCCUUCUUCACCUCCACGAAAUCAGCCACACCCUUUCCACCCUCUCCUCUUUGCAACAAUCGCCCCUCAUCCUCUCACUUCUCCAUUUUUCUGUGCAUGAUUCACUCUCAAGAGAAAUUGAAUGCCUCUUUGACGGUGUCACCUAUAGAUUGAACAUUUAUCACUACUUUCUCUUAUGGGGCGGAGAAUAAGGAAACUGCUAUUGGAGUUAACAUACAUGUGCACAAACUUUAAUUGGAACAGCUACAUCUUAUGCAAGAGGAACUUUCAUUUGGUUUGAGAAUUAAAGGUUACUUACCUCAGAUUUAUAGUAGCUAUUUAACUGCAUUCUCUCUGAGCAAACAAUGGCUACAUAUCUCAGAUUUAAAUGGUUUUUGGCUAUUGUUUAAUAGAGAUUAUUAACUGAAACUUGAAAUUAACUUAAUAAUUGAAGAGUUUCUUCCUUUGUUUGAAUUUCAAUUUACUCUCCUUUUUAUUUCUCAUCUCCUCACAAGGGGUUGUGUGUUUGUGAGCAUCAGAUGCCUAUGGAAAGCUCAAACUUACUCUAUUAUAAUAAGUUUUAGUUCUAUUAGUUUUAUAUUUAUUAACAUUAGCUCUUGAGUAGUGUUUGCUGCAAGUUCAUUGAGAUACAUGCUAAAAGAAGUGUGGUGAAAUUGAUCUACGUAAACCAGAUUUAUGAUUUGUGAUAAGGCUGAUAGUACAUGUUCUUUCAUCAUUCAUAAGUUUUGAUUAAACUAUACCUAUAAAUGUUGUGAUUAUUUUUAACAAAUUCAAUUCUUAAUAAAUGUAAUUGUACAGCUCUUUUAAAAUCAUGUGUAUAUUUUGAGUUCUAUUUACUAA